CUCUCCAUCGCAGACCUCAUAGGAAGGAAUGCACAUGCCAUCAUCGCAGCGGAACUCAGAAGAGGAACAGGUUGGUUCUACGUUGUGGCAGUUUCUCUCGUCGCU